rnacentral:rRNA from 1 species
UACAGAGGUCCCAAGCGUUGUUCGGAUUCACUGGGCGUAAAGGGUGCGUAGGUGGUGAGGUAAGUCGGAUGUGAAAUCUCCGAGCUCAACUCGGAAAUUGCAUUGGAAACUACCUUGCUUGAGGGUUGGAGGGGGGACUGGAAUGCUUGGUGUAGCAGUGAAAUGCGUAGAUAUCAAGCGGAACACCAGUGGCGAAGGCGGCCGCCUGGGCCAGUCCUGACGCUGAGCCGCGAAAGCGUGGGGAGCGAUCCGG